CUAAGAAUCUUCCGCAAUGGGCGAAAGCCUGACGGAGCGACGCCGCGUGAACGAAGAAGGCCGUGAGGUUGUAAAGUUCUUUUCGGGAGGGGGAACAACCGUGGCAGGGAAUGGCCGCGGGAUGACGUGAGUCCCGGAAUAAGCCCCGGCUAACUACGUGCCAGCAGCCGCGGUAACACGUAGGGGGCGAGCGUUGUUCGGGAUCAUUGGGCGUAAAGGGCGUGCAGGCGGUCCUGCAAGUCCGGCGUGAAAGACCCCGGCCCAACCGGGGGGGCGCGCUGGAAACUGGAGGGCUUGAGUACAGGAGGGGAUGCCGGAAUUCCAGGUGUAGGGGUGAAAUCUGUAGAUAUCUGGAAGAACACCAAUGGCGAAGGCAGGCAUCUGGCCAUGUACUGACGCUGAGACGCGAAGGUGCGGGGAGCAAACAG
rnacentral:rRNA from 1 species